AGCGAACGCUGGCGGCAGGCUUAACACAUGCAAGUCGAGCGGGCACUUUCGGGUGUCAGCGGCGGACGGGUGCGUAACGCGUGGGAACGUGCCCUCUGGUUCGGAAUAACUCAGGGAAACUUGAGCUAAUACCGGAUACGCCCUUUUGGGGAAAGGCUUGCUGCCGGAGGAUCGGCCCGCGUCGGAUUAGCUAGUUGGUGAGGUAACGGCUCACCAAGGCGACGAUCAGUAGCUGGGCUGAGAGGAUGAGCAGCCACACUGGGACUGAGACACGGCCCAGACUCCUACGGGAGGCAGCAGUGGGGAAUAUUGGACAGUGGGCGCAAGCCUGAUCCAGCCAGGCCGCGUGAGUGAUGAAGGCCGUAGGGUUGUAAAGCGCUUUUAUCCGGGACGAUAAUGACGGUACCGGAGGAAUAAGCCCCGGCUAACUUCGUG
rnacentral:rRNA from 1 species